GUUUGAAAGUCAGGUAUAACAGAAAAAGAAGAUAAAUAAACUACUUUAAGGUAAGUUUAUUUUGGGCUUUAUUACAUUGUGUCGGAUCGGUGCAUAAUCUCCAGUAUUUCCUGAUACCGAUUCAAGCAUUUUAGGCAGUAUCGGAGGCGAUACUGGUAUCGGAG